rnacentral:rRNA from 1 species
GUGAGGAAUAUUGCGCAAUGGAGGCAACUCUGACGCAGCCAUGCCGCGUGCAGGAAGAAGGCGCUACGCGUUGUAAACUGCUUUUAACCGGGAAGAAACCCCAGGACGUGUCCUGGGUUGACGGUACCGGAGGAAUAAGCACCGGCUAACUUCGUGCCAGCAGCCGCGGUAAUACGAAGGGUGCAAGCGUUAUCCGGAUUCAUUGGGUUUAAAGGGUGCGUAGGCGGAGCGUUAAGUCAGUGGUGAAAUCCUGCAGCUUAACUGUAGACUUGCCAUUGAUACUGGCGCUCUUGAUUGCGCUUGAAGUGGGCGGAAUGUGCCGUGUAGCGGUGAAAUGCUUAGAUAUGGCACAGAACACCAAUUGCGAAGGCAGCUCACUAAGGCGAUACUGACGCUGAGGCACGAAAGCGUGGGGAUCGAACAGGAUUAGAUACCCGAGUAGUCC